UUACUCAGAGUCUACUGAUUUAAAUUUCCACUGAUUUAAAUAAUGCCUUCCAGUAACACCUUGACUGGCAUUUAACCAAAAAAUACAGCCCUGCCAAGUGGACGGAUAAAGUUUACCAUCACACCCUGCUUUUAUGGGAAUACUUAUCCUGACUCUUUUCUCAGAAGAUAAUCCUUAUUUUGUGAGAACAGCCUGUGGUCACGCAGUCUUUCUACCAGCGACCAGGGCCCUUGUCUGGAAUGUGGGACGGUCACGUGCACAGUGAGCUGCCUCUGUAUUCCGUCCUUGGUGCAGCUGAGUUGAGCGUGCAGCAGCUAUGCUGGUCAUGGGACAGUAGUGAUGAGAGGGGGAGAUGGCCAGUCUGUUUAUUUCCAGCUUAGACUCCCGUACCAGUAAUACCUGCCUAUUAUUCAGGUGAUUUCAAGCAUCUUUACAUGAAUAUUUAUGUCUUCCUCUUCUUUUUCAUCCUCUAGGGGGACCCAGGUCAAAUACUGGGCCAUGUGCCUGGGACACUGUUGAAAGGCGAAAGAGGGUUUCCUGGAAUCCCAGGGAUGCCAGGCUCACCAGGAUUACCAGGGCUGCAAGGUCCCGUUGGCCCUCCAGGAUUUACUGGACCACCAGGUCCCCCAGGCCCUCCUGGCCCUCCAGGUGAAAAGGUAAAGUUUUUUUU